AGCACAGAAGAGAGGGGAAACAAGUGAGCCUGCCAAGGUCAUGAUAGGAAAUUUCACUGAACAACUCAGAUCUGAAAUUUUUAUCUUUGCGUGAACUGCUGAUUGUUUCAGUACUUACAGAUCUGCUGGUCAGAAGUGCUAAAUACAGGUAGAAAAUCUUGGUCCAUCUGGCUGGCUUUUUUGAAGCAAGCAUUUUCCUGAUCUAUGCAGAAACAAAGACUGCAGAUAUGGAAACUCUGAGAAACAUCAUUCUCUCAGAUGCACUGUUUGCAAUGCUUCCUGCUCCCUGGAAAACCACAUUCUGUGAGCACCAUAACCUAAAACCUUCAGAGCAGCAGCAUCUCUACACAGGGGUAGUUCCUCCAGAGGAAAAGCUCCUUGGCUGCUCAGAAUGAGAAAACAAGAUAUUGAUUCUGUGAAGAUGUUUGAGUUGAUUGCUCAGUCAUGCAGCAGGUUUUUUCCCAGGAGCUAUCAAACCUUAAUACUCUCUGAAAAGCAUAAGAAGGAAUUUUGG
rnacentral:lncRNA from 1 species